GGGUUUAUAGCUCAGUUGGUUAGAGCGCUUCUCUGAUAAGGAAGAGGUCCCUGGUUCAAGUCCAGGUAGACCCACCA
rnacentral:tRNA from 1 species